rnacentral:rRNA from 1 species
UACGAAGGGGGCUAGCGUUGCUCGGAAUUACUGGGCGUAAAGGGCGCGUAGGCGGAUGUCUAAGUUGGGGGUGAAAUCCCGGGGCUCAACCUCGGAACCGCCUUCAAUACUGGAUAUCUUGAGUUCGGGAGAGGUGAGUGGAAUGCCGAGUGUAGAGGUGAAAUUCGUAGAUAUUCGGAGGAACACCAGUGGCGAAGGCGGCUCACUGGUCCAUUACUGACGCUGAGGUGCGAAAGCGUGGGGAGCAAACAGG